AACCAUAGAAACCUGCGGAGUACCUGCGGAAGGAUCAUUAUAGUAUAUGGAAUCUCCAUUCUAUAAGCCCACUCUGCGUAUCUUGUAACUGUUGCUUCCAUGGGACUUGGUUCCGCCACACCGGCUUCACGGCUGGUGAGCGCCCAUGGAAGGAGAAACAAAACUCUUCUUUGAAAUGUAGUCAGUCUGAACAAGUUUUUAUAAACGUUAAAACUUUUAGCAAUGGAUCUCAGAUCGGAA
rnacentral:misc_RNA from 1 species